CACAGAUAGUAGCCUAGCUACUACACUUGACCGUCUGUGGAGUUUUCUGAGGAGGAUGUGGAGGAUCCUGUACCGCCUUGCGCCCGAUUACUCUGAAAUAAAACUUUCAGAGGAAGAAUCAUCACCGCUGUACCCUGACCAGAGCUCUGUCCGUCCAUGGUUUGAUGAUUAUGGAGAAGAUAAUGGCUACAUCCAUUUAACUGAGAGACAUUAAUUCUGACAAUGACCAUUAUUGAUAAAAUGAUGACCAACCAAGCUGCAGAAUUGUUUGAUUUAAAAUCCUUUUUAAAGCACAUCAGCAAGCAAGUCUACAGUAUGGGAAAAGAUACGAAAGACGAUUUAAAGUGACAGCUGACAUUCAUCAUUCAGGAAGAAGUCAGUUACUGUAUACAUUGUUUUAUACAUUCAGUUUUGGUAAACAUAAUGUGACAUCCAGGUACUGUAUACUGAAAAUGAUGCAC